CUUACCAUUUCUCAAUGUUGAUCCCUUAGAGUUAUCGAAAAUCCUGAUUACAAUCCCGAGACACGAGAAGCAAAGCUCGACGAGAACGAGGAGACGAAUCACACGCUUCAUAAGCCAAGAGAGAGUUUCAAUGCAUCUACUACCAUUCUGUCAGCGCUAUACGGGAAACUGUUAGUUAUCCUAGGAAUUGCAAUUCCGAUCACAGACACAAUUUCACCGGACGCAAAUUUUUCGUUCUACCAAGGCUUUUAUUUGUAUUUAUACUUCGGAAGCAUCGGUUUCGUUGCUUAUAUGUACAUUACGUUAGUAAAGGAGAAGGCAAUCUUUUCCAUCAUGAAAGCAUAUCGCAAAGAAAGUAGAAGCUUUAUCAAGAAGAAUACACUGUCUGUGGGGCGGUUGUGGCAUUCUAAAGCUGAGCGAUACGGAAGUCUGUACCUGAGACUGGGAGCGAUCGGUGAGUACUCCUUUUUGGAUGAGG